rnacentral:rRNA from 1 species
CUGAAACUCGCCUACAUGAAGCUGGAGUUGCUAGUAAUCGCGAAUCAGCAUGUCGCGGUGAAUACGUUCCCGGGCCUUGUACACACCGCCCGUCACACCAUGAGAGUUGGCAAUACCCAACGUACGUGAUCUAACCCGCAAGGGAGGAAGCGUCCUAAGGUAGGGUCAGCGAUUGGGGUGAAGUCGUAACAAGGUAUC